CUGUGCUGGAGUUUACUGUGUGAGUCCAGGAUAGGGAAAGCAAAUGCCAUACUUUUGGAGUGUUCGGUAACUUCAUAUUUUAGAACAGGAUGGUGCUCAUUUGCCUAGAAAGCAGUUUUUUUCAGAAAAGGACUUGGAAUUUCUCAUGGAUCAUAAAUGGAACAGGAGCUAGCAAUGUGCCCUCAC